UGUGCUCUUCUCUCCACGUGGAUGCUUUGAUGCUUUAAAUGGCUAAUAAUUUUCUUUUUUUUUAUUUCUCUCUUUUUCAGACACAAGUCAAGCCAUUGUGGGACAAGAGUAAUAUAAAAAGCUCCAGUGUGACUGUGACUCCAGCUUCUCCAAUUUUCUGGUGGCAUAUUAGACUAUAGGAAUGGGAAUCACCGGGUACCUGAUACAUCACAAUACCCAGAACCAAGAAUCCAAAAAGUAAAACUUUAAAAGGAAAUUGUCAGGAUGUAACUUACGCCAGUCGAUGCCAGCGCUUGCAGACACGGGACGUCCUGAGAAGGUCUUGCAGUGAAAGACGAGAGAAAAUCCCCAACAGCAGCUCAUCCGGGAGAGUGUCCCAACACAGACCGCCUGCAGUGUCUUCGCUGAACAGAGGAGCAGUUUCAGCCAGAGACUGAUUACUAUCAAGUGUUCCACAGAGCGCCACAGGAGAUCCUUUCUCCCAACGGCCAUAAAAGUUUUCAACUCUUCUCUGUAACUCAUACACACAUGUAUGUGGAUUUUUCACUAACUGUUACACAACAGGACAUUAAUACUUACCCAUAUUAAUAAUAUGAUAACUGCAAUACUACUUCCCAAUAAAACAUGUAAUACAAGAUUACAUAUAAUAAUAAUACAAUAUUACAUAAAUAUACUAGAUUACUGUGCAAUACUUACAGGUGGUCUUGAGCCAUAUUCUGUUGGUACUUACUGUUUUAGGAACUUUUUUUUUAAAGAUUAUUAUUAUUAUUUAUUACCUUUAUUACCUUUUCUUAGAUAACAACUGUGAGCACCUGUAACCGAGCAUAAGUAAUUUCCCUCUGGGAUUAAUAAAGU